UUACAGUAUUUGCCGAGCCUUGGAGUCCGAUAAGUUGUGCAUUGGACUAAUUUUUGAUGAUUUUAAGGAUUUUUCACCUGAGUCUGAGUUCGUAGAAGGACCAUUCUCGCAUCAAAUUGAAUUUUGCUCUUGAGUCUGACAUCGUAGGAGGAACAUUCUUGCAUCAGAAUGGAUUUUGCACCUGAGUCUGAGAUCGUAGAAAAAACCAUUCUGGUAUCAGAUUGGAUUUUGCACCUGAGUCUGACAUCGUAAAAGGG